GACGAACCGUGCGAACGUUAUUCGGAAUCACUGGGCUUAAAGGGCGCGUAGGCGGGCCGAAAAGUCAGGGGUGAAAUCCUCCAGCCCAACUGGAGAAGCGCCUUUGGUACUGUCGGCCUCGAGGGGUGCAGGGGCAUGCGGAACUCAGGGUGGAGCGGUGAAAUGCGUAGAUAUCUGGAGGAACACCGGUGGCGAAGGCGGCAUCCUGGACCGGUAUUGACGCUGAGGCGCGAAAGCCAGGGGAGCAAACGGG
rnacentral:rRNA from 1 species